rnacentral:rRNA from 1 species
UACGUAGGGGGCACGCGUUGUCCGGAUUUAUUGGGCGUAAAGAGCGUGUAGGCGGCCAGGUAGGUCUGCUGUGAAAACUCGAGGCUUAACCUCGAGAUGUCGGCGGAAACCAUCUGGCUAGAGUCCGGAAGAGGAGAAUGGAAUUCCCGGUGUAGCGGUGAAAUGCGCAGAUAUCGGGAAGAACACCCGUGGCGAAGGCGGUUCUCUGGGACGGUACUGACGCUGAGACGCGAAAGCGUGGGGAGCGAACAGG